AGUGUGAUGAAAAUAACACCCUGUGUUACAAAUAAGAAAGUGGAAGGGGCGUGUCCAUACCUGGCAGCGCCCCAGUUUCCUCUCAGGAGGCCUGCAAUGGCGGGCCCUUCUUUGCUUCUUCCUCCUUCGCCAGGGUGGUUUGGUGUGCGAAAAACUGUUGGACUUGAUAGUUAAUGAGCCUGUUGUUAUCAUGGAAGAAGGUUUUCCUAAUGCCAUACAACAUGGAUAAUCAAUUAAAGAGAUGCGGACAUCAGAGUUGAGGUAGUUUCAAAUGAUGGGGAGAUGGUUAGGUGACGAGUGCCCUCUCCGAUGUGGAUGCUGAAGAAGUUCAGGUUAGAAUGUAAUCCGUCGGAUCAUCUAUUUGAUAUGUCAUGCGUCUAAAACUUACGUAUUUUCUAUACUCAGUCUUGAAUUAUUGUUGCUGAAAAAUUACCCGAUGAUCAGGUAUCGAUGUUUGUUAGCAUGAUUAAUUGUGGAUGCAAUGUUCAAGAUUGAUAUUAUAUGCGAUUGUCGCAUCAUGCUAGGAACUGACGAGGGCAACCAUCACCACCAAUUAGUCAUAGUUUCGCCACCACGCAAACAUCCGUGAAGGAGACAUCUCCCAUCGCAAGGCGCCUCCUCACCCUCACCGUGCAUCGGCUCUAGACGCACAAUGGACGUAUGAAUAUAAUCUAUUUUUGUGCGAACCUCUUGAGUAUAAUUUAUGAUGUGUUGAACCUUGACUCUGCUUUUGUACCUGCAAUGUGUUGCUUUUGGAAGCUAGCAUAUAUGCUGUCGUGCAUGUAACCUCUAAAAUUGCUACUCAUCAGGUCUAACUGUAUCUGUU